GAGGAAAAGAAACUAACAAGGAUUCCCCUAGUAACUGCGAGUGAAGCGGGAAAAGCUCAAAUUUUGAAUCUGGCGGUCUUCACAGGCCGUCCGAGUUGUAAUCUAGAGAAGCGUCUUCCGCGCCGGCCCGUGUACAAGUCUCCUGGAAGGGAGCGUCGUAGAGGGUGAGAAUCCCGUCUCUGACACAGACCACCGGUGCUAUGUGAUGCGCUCUCGACGAGUCGAGUUGUUUGGGAAUGCAGCUCAAAAAGGGUGGUAAACUCCAUCUAAAGCUAAAUACUGGCGAGAGACCGAUAGCGAACAAGUACCGUGAGGGAAAGAUGAAAAGGACUCUGGAAAGAGAGUUAAACAGUACGUGAAAUUGCUGAAAGGGAAACGCUCGAUGUCAGUCGCGUCGGCUGGGGGUCAACCUUGCGGUUUUCUGCUGGGUGUAUUUCCUGGUCGACGGGUCAGCAUCAGUUUCGGUCGUCGUACAAGGGCCAAGGGAACGUGGCACCCUUCCGGGGGUGUGUUAUAGCCUUUCGGUCGUAUGCGGCGGCUCGGGACUGAGGAAACUCGGUGCUUGCGCCAGAGAUGCUGGCAUAAUGGCCUUGAGCGACCCGUCUUGAAACACGGACCAAGGAGUCUAACAUACCUGCGAGUGUUCGGGUGGCAAACCCGAUCGCGAAAUGAAAGUGAAAGUCGAGAUCUCCGCUCCACGGAGUGCAC
rnacentral:rRNA from 1 species